AGUGAACGCUUGCGGUAGGCCUAACACAUGCAAGUCGAACGGCAGCACAGAGGAGCUUGCUCCUUGGGUGGCGAGUGGCGGACGGGUGAGGAAUACAUCGGAAUCUACUCUGUCGUGGGGGAUAACGUAGGGAAACUUACGCUAUACCGCAUACGACCUACGGGUGAAAGCAGGGGACCUUCGGGCCUUGCGCGAUUGAAUGAGCCGAUGUCGGAUUAGCUCGUUGGCGGGGUAAAGGCCCACCAAGGCGACGAUCCGUAGCUGGUCUGAGAGGAUGAUCAGCCAGACUGGAACUGAGACACGGUCCAGACUCCUACGGGGGGCAGGAGUGGGGAAUAUUGGACAAUGGGCGCAAGCCUGAUCCAGCCAUACCGCGUGGGUGAAGAAGGCCUUCGGGUUGUAAAGCCCUUUUGUUGGGAAAGAAAUCCAGCUGGCUAAUACCCGGUUGGGAUGACGGUACCCAAAGAAUAAGCACCGGCUAACUUCGUGCCAGCAGCCGCGGUAA
rnacentral:rRNA from 1 species